UAUACAGCGAAACUGCGAAUGGCUCAUUAUAUAAGUUAUCGUUUAUUUGAUAGUGCCUUACUACUUGGAUAACCGUGGUAAUUCUAGAGCUAAUACAUGCUAAAAACCCCGACUUCGGAAGGGGUGUAUUUAUUAGAUACAAAACCAAUGCCCUUCGGGGCUCUUUGGUGAUUCAUGAUAACUAUACGAAUCGCACGGCCUUGCGCCGGCGAUGGUUCAUUCAAAUUUCUUCCCUAUCAACUUUCGAUGUUUGGGUAUUGGCCAAACAUGGUUGCAACGGGUAACGGAGGGUUAGGGCUCGACCCCGGAGAAGGAGCCUGAGAAACGGCUACUACAUCCAAGGAAGGCAGCAGGCGCGCAAAUUACCCAAUCCCGACUCGGGGAGGUAGUGACAAUAAGUACUGAUACAGGGCCCUUUCGGGCCUUGUAAUUGGAAUGAGUACAAUUUAAAUCCCUUAACGAGGAACAAUUGGAGGGCAAGUCUGGUGCCAGCAGCCGCGGUAAUUCCAGCUCCAAUAGCGUAUAU
rnacentral:rRNA from 1 species